rnacentral:rRNA from 1 species
UACGUAGGGUGCAAGCGUUGUCCGGAUUUAUUGGGUGUAAAGAGCUCGUAGGCGGUUUGUCGCGUCGGAUGUGAAAACCCAGGGCUCAACCCUGGGCCUGCAUUCGAUACGGGCAGACUAGAGUAUGGCAGGGGAGACUGGAAUUCCUGGUGUAGCGGUGAAAUGCGCAGAUAUCAGGAGGAACACCGGUGGCGAAGGCGGGUCUCUGGGCCUUACCUGACGCUGAGGAGCGAAAGCGUGGGGAGCGAACAGG